ACAGACAUGCAGUGGGCGGGCUGGAGAGGGUCCAUAGAAGGGCCACAAAGAUGAUCAAGGGACUGGGAAGACUGCUAUGUGAGGAAAGGCUGAAAGAACUGGGUUUUUUCAGCCUUGAGAAGGGAUGACUUAGGGG